GUAAGAGUCUGACACUCCCUCACCGCUGCUAACCCACAGCGGGAGGGCUCAUUUGAUGAUUUUUGACGUCGUUAAAAAAAAAAGAUGUAGGUGGGUAUUGUAAUAAAUGAAAAUAAAGAAUUAUCGAUGGUAGAUCAUUAGCGAAGGCAUAAAAUCUUGAAUUAUUCUUCAUUUUCAAGAUCUAUUGUGUACUGGCCAACUAUGUUCCGGUUCAUAACAAUCAAUAAUCAAACAUAAAUCAAUUUUACUUGCAAAUAAUUGAAUGUUUCCACUACAUCCGUUAAGAUUUCUAAUCGGUUUGAUGCAUGCGAAAUAAAUUGCUGAUUGUAAAAAUACAAAGAUAUUGACCACUUUGAGAAACUACUUAAAAGUUUGAAAACCGGAUACAAACCUAUUUUAAUCUUAGAGUUAACAUCUCUAUUGAUAAUGCAUAUCGCAUUAAUGUUAUCUAGCAUUUAAAGUGUAUCCUGAAGCCAUAUCUUCUAUCAACCAAUUUUCGGUAACUAUGCUUUGAUCGUAAUCAAAACUUUUGUAGAUCUUUUUUUAUAAAUAGUAGCUUAUUGGCAUAGAUUAGUAUACCUACCUAUAAAUGCGUAAAAACGAAUACCAGUUUCAGUUCCGGCUGAAAGACUUGAUUGUAUCUUUAUCUUGGGAGUUACUUAAUCAAUUACCAACUGCUUAUAAUCAACCAAACUGUUUAUCAGCCUGAAUGUCCAUGUCCGUUAUGUCUUUGAAAUGAGCAAUGACACAUCGGGAGAUUCCAAGGUUGGGAGGUCAAAUGUGCGUGUUUAUGUAAUGCAUGUCGCGAUCACAUGAAUAAGGCAAAGUAGGCUGGGCUUGAGCACAUUAAAAGGUAAAGGGUAGGGUGGUAGCCAAUGAACCGCGUGUACAGUAUGAACCAUAGUACCUACCGGCCAUACCUAACGUUGCUAGCUCGCGCAAAAAUUAUGUCGAGACUCCCUUGCCACGUCAUGAAGUUUGGUCUAUUCGCCGUGGGUCUGUCGCGAUAUACUCACCCGUGAGCCGCGUCUUAGUCUUCUACUCAAGCAAAAACGACAAAAAAAGCAUGGAGGAAAGCACGUAAGAAGGGUAUCACACCGCGGAAGCUACACAAAGAGGUAUAGAAAAAACACUUAUCAGGAUUAAGCAUUCGAAAAGCAGCAAAAACUGCAACCUUCUCUAUCCAAUAUUGCGACAGACGAAGUGCUUGUGCGAAGAUAUGUCAAAAACAAAGUACAGGAACAAUCCGUCUUGUAGACAAGAGCCCCAUUAUGAUGCAAGUAAAUUUUUUACUGCCCAACAUGAAGACAGCAUAAAGAAAUGUUGAUUGUUACAAUUUGUUAUUUGGACAAUAAAAAUACAUAAGUCUGAAUGUGAUAAAAAGUAUAAAAACACGUCGACUUUAUAAUGCUAAGAGCAUUUUAAUUCAUAUAAAUAUACAAGUACAAAAUGUUUUUUCUUUUUUCCCGGAAAGAGUUUGUGCGUAACUUUUAAGAUGUUCAUAAUUAUUGUUAAAAAUUAAGUUUUAAGGCUGAUUUGUUGGUUAUUAUAUUAUGUAUAACCCGAAACUUAAUAAUUAUAAAAAGUUAUAAAUAGUGUAUUUAUUUUUCUUUAAAACAAAUAAUAAUGUUUUUUUUUAUAUUACCGUGAUUCAUUGUGUACCACAUGGUUCAUUUAAUACCACCCCCCCGGUUCUUUGUGUACCCCUAGGAGUACGCUAUGAACCAUUUCUCAUGUUUUAAAAAAACAUGUAUAAAUCAGGCAACAGCAAAUGUUUUCCACUUAUUUCAAACCUAUCAUUUGAGACAAAAAUAUUUUCUUAGACUGUAAAAACGAGCGCGCUAGAGAUCUCCAAACUUUUGGUGGUUCAAUGGCUACCACCCUAUUUUAUUUGUACUCCUCUUACGUACUUCUCUUAUAUGUACUCAUCUUAUGGA
rnacentral:lncRNA from 1 species